rnacentral:lncRNA from 1 species
CAGUUCCAUUCAAUCCUCUAGAUCCUAGAGGCUCAGAUCUCUACCUUGCAAAGUGCUGAUUUCAGCCGUGCAACAACAGGGCUAUUGCUACCCUUCAGUGAGCAUGUGUACAUCCCUAUUUUGCUUGUUAUUUAAGAUUGAUAUCCUACUUGAAAAGAAAGAAGACCCAAUAAUGCUUUACUACUGAACAUGGCAUAAUAGUUUUAAAACACAUACACAUGCAUCUAUAUAGUCAUCAUAAUGCAAUGAGGUUGUGACAUUUCUGGAGACAUUUUCUUUCUUUCUUUCUGGAGAUAUAUUUUUGACUCAGAGUCUGAAGAAAUUGUGAUUAAUGUGUACUUAAACAAUCAGUCAAACAAUCAAUUAACCUCGUUUAAUAGACCAAAAAAAUGGAAGCUUUGGAUGCCCAAUUUCAGAAGAAAGAAUGGAGCUGGUGAUGCUAAAGAAGUAAGGAGACAGGGCUCCUACCCUGGUCCAGGGGCCAAAAGGACAAGCAACACAGAAGAUUCUCAGAAGCUGAGGAUAUGGUAACAUUUCCUCUUCUGGCGUGCAUAAUAAGUUCUAUGAUCUGCUGAGUACAAAGAUGGACCCAAGAGAACCAAAUGAACUCCCUGAAUGUACAGUCAGAGCUGGCCAGGGCAAGGCAAAGAGCUAGGGAAGGAAAUGCAUUUCUUUCAUCUCUCUAAUGUAAUGACAGAAAUCGCAUUCUAAAUAAAGCCAAGGAAACCUGUGUUCCA